rnacentral:rRNA from 1 species
GAGUAAAGAUUUCGGUCGCUUUGGGAGGAGCUCGCUUACUAUCAGCUUGUUGGUAGGGUAAUGGCCUACCAAGGCUAUGACGGUUAGGGGGUGUGAGAGCAUGACCCCCAGCAUUGGCACUGAAACACUGGCCAAACACCUACGGGUGGCUGCAGUCGAGAAUCUUCCACAAUGGGGGAAACCCUGAUGGAGCGAUGCUGCGUGCGGGAUGAAGGCCUUCGGGUUGUAAACCGCUUUUGUAGGGGACGAAAUUUUUGACGGUACCCUUUCGAAUAAGAGGUUGCUAACUCUGUGCCAGCAGCAGCGGUAAUACAGAGACCUCAAGCGUUAUCCGGAUUUACUGGGCGUAAAGCGUCUGUAGGGGGUUUAUUAAGUUCCAAGUAAAAUUUCAAGGCUCAACUUUGAAUUCGCUUGGAAAACUAAUAAACUGGAGUCUAGCAGAGGUGCAUGGAACUUGUGGUGUAGGAGUGAAAUCCGUUGAUAUCACAAGGAACACCAAAGGCGAAGGCAUUGCACUGGGCUAGCACUGACCCUGAGAGACGAAAGCGUGGGGAGCAAAACGGAUUAGAUACCCGUGUAGUCCACGCCCUAAACGAUGAAUGCUAAAUGUUCGGGGAUUCGACCCCCUGGGUGUUACAGCUAACGCGUUAAGCAUUCCGCCUGGGAAGUACGGCCGCAAGGCUAAAACUCAAAGGAAUAGACGGGGAUCCGCACAAGCGGUGGAGCGUCUGGUUUAAUUCGACAGUAAGCGUGGUACCUCACCAGGGUUUGACAUCCCUUGACAGCCUUGGAAACAAGGUUUCCUUCGGGCAAGGUGACAGGUGCUGCAUGGUCGUCGUCAGUUCGUGCCGUGAGGUGUUCCGUUAAGUCGGGAAACGAACGAAACCCCUAUUGCAUGUUACAAUUUCUCAUGCAAGACUGCCCGGAUAUACUGGGAGGAAGGUGGGGAUGACGUCAGAUCUGCAUGGUCCUUAUACCCUGGGCGACACAGGCGCUACAAUGGCAGAGACAAAGGGUUGCAAAACCGCAAGGUGAAGCUAAUCCCAAAAACUUUGUCUAAGUUCGGAUUGAAGGCUGCAAUUCGCCUUCAUGAAGCUGGAAUCGCUAGUAAUCGUGAAUCAGCCACGUCACGGUGAAUAUGUUCCCGGAUCUUGUACUCACCGCCCGUCACACCAAGAGAGUUGGUAGCUCCCGAAGCGUCCCGUUUUAGCGGGGCAUCACGGAGAGAUCAGCGAUAGGGGUGAAG